UUAAGCGACUAAGCGUACACGGUGGAUGCCCUGGCAGUCAGAGGCGAUGAAGGACGUGCUAAUCUGCGAUAAGCGUCGGUAAGGUGAUAUGAACCGUUAUAACCGGCGAUUUCCGAAUGGGGAAACCCAGUGUGAUUCGUCACACUAUCAUUAACUGAAUCCAUAGGUUAAUGAGGCGAACCGGGGGAACUGAAACAUCUAAGUACCCCGAGGAAAAGAAAUCAACCGAGAUUCCCCCAGUAGCGGCGAGCGAACGGGGAGCAGCCCAGAGCCUGAAUCAGUGUGUGUGUUAGUGGAAGCGUCUGGAAAGGCGCGCGAUACAGGGUGACAGCCCCGUACACAAAAAUGCACAUGCUGUGAGCUCGAUGAGUAGGGCGGGACACGUGGUAUCCUGUCUGAAUAUGGGGGGACCAUCCUCCAAGGCUAAAUACUCCUGACUGACCGAUAGUGAACCAGUACCGUGAGGGAAAGGCGAAAAGAACCCCGGCGAGGGGAGUGAAAAAGAACCUGAAACCGUGUACGUACAAGCAGUGGGAGCACGCUUAGGCGUGUGACUGCGUACCUUUUGUAUAAUGGGUCAGCGACUUAUAUUCUGUAGCAAGGUUAACCGAAUAGGGGAGCCGAAGGGAAACCGAGUCUUAACUGGGCGUUAAGUUGCAGGGUAUAGACCCGAAACCCGGUGAUCUAGCCAUGGGCAGGUUGAAGGUUGGGUAACACUAACUGGAGGACCGAACCGACUAAUGUUGAAAAAUUAGCGGAUGACUUGUGGCUGGGGGUGAAAGGCCAAUCAAACCGGGAGAUAGCUGGUUCUCCCCGAAAGCUAUUUAGGUAGCGCCUCGUGAAUUCAUCUCCGGGGGUAGAGCACUGUUUCGGCAAGGGGGUCAUCCCGACUUACCAACCCGAUGCAAACUGCGAAUACCGGAGAAUGUUAUCACGGGAGACACACGGCGGGUGCUAACGUCCGUCGUGAAGAGGGAAACAACCCAGACCGCCAGCUAAGGUCCCAAAGUCAUGGUUAAGUGGGAAACGAUGUGGGAAGGCCCAGACAGCCAGGAUGUUGGCUUAGAAGCAGCCAUCAUUUAAAGAAAGCGUAAUAGCUCACUGGUCGAGUCGGCCUGCGCGGAAGAUGUAACGGGGCUAAACCAUGCACCGAAGCUGCGGCAGCGACGCUUAUGCGUUGUUGGGUAGGGGAGCGUUCUGUAAGCCUGCGAAGGUGUGCUGUGAGGCAUGCUGGAGGUAUCAGAAGUGCGAAUGCUGACAUAAGUAACGAUAAAGCGGGUGAAAAGCCCGCUCGCCGGAAGACCAAGGGUUCCUGUCCAACGUUAAUCGGGGCAGGGUGAGUCGACCCCUAAGGCGAGGCCGAAAGGCGUAGUCGAUGGGAAACAGGUUAAUAUUCCUGUACUUGGUGUUACUGCGAAGGGGGGACGGAGAAGGCUAUGUUGGCCGGGCGACGGUUGUCCCGGUUUAAGCGUGUAGGCUGGUUUUCCAGGCAAAUCCGGAAAAUCAAGGCUGAGGCGUGAUGACGAGGCACUACGGUGCUGAAGCAACAAAUGCCCUGCUUCCAGGAAAAGCCUCUAAGCAUCAGGUAACAUCAAAUCGUACCCCAAACCGACACAGGUGGUCAGGUAGAGAAUACCAAGGCGCUUGAGAGAACUCGGGUGAAGGAACUAGGCAAAAUGGUGCCGUAACUUCGGGAGAAGGCACGCUGAUAUGUAGGUGAAGUCCCUCGCGGAUGGAGCUGAAAUCAGUCGAAGAUACCAGCUGGCUGCAACUGUUUAUUAAAAACACAGCACUGUGCAAACACGAAAGUGGACGUAUACGGUGUGACGCCUGCCCGGUGCCGGAAGGUUAAUUGAUGGGGUCAGCGCAAGCGAAGCUCUUGAUCGAAGCCCCGGUAAACGGCGGCCGUAACUAUAACGGUCCUAAGGUAGCGAAAUUCCUUGUCGGGUAAGUUCCGACCUGCACGAAUGGCGUAAUGAUGGCCAGGCUGUCUCCACCCGAGACUCAGUGAAAUUGAACUCGCUGUGAAGAUGCAGUGUACCCGCGGCAAGACGGAAAGACCCCGUGAACCUUUACUAUAGCUUGACACUGAACAUUGAGCCUUGAUGUGUAGGAUAGGUGGGAGGCUUUGAAGUGUGGACGCCAGUCUGCAUGGAGCCGACCUUGAAAUACCACCCUUUAAUGUUUGAUGUUCUAACGUUGACCCGUAAUCCGGGUUGCGGACAGUGUCUGGUGGGUAGUUUGACUGGGGCGGUCUCCUCCUAAAGAGUAACGGAGGAGCACGAAGGUUGGCUAAUCCUGGUCGGACAUCAGGAGGUUAGUGCAAUGGCAUAAGCCAGCUUGACUGCGAGCGUGACGGCGCGAGCAGGUGCGAAAGCAGGUCAUAGUGAUCCGGUGGUUCUGAAUGGAAGGGCCAUCGCUCAACGGAUAAAAGGUACUCCGGGGAUAACAGGCUGAUACCGCCCAAGAGUUCAUAUCGACGGCGGUGUUUGGCACCUCGAUGUCGGCUCAUCACAUCCUGGGGCUGAAGUAGGUCCCAAGGGUAUGGCUGUUCGCCAUUUAAAGUGGUACGCGAGCUGGGUUUAGAACGUCGUGAGACAGUUCGGUCCCUAUCUGCCGUGGGCGCUGGAGAACUGAGGGGGGCUGCUCCUAGUACGAGAGGACCGGAGUGGACGCAUCACUGGUGUUCGGGUUGUCAUGCCAAUGGCACUGCCCGGUAGCUAAAUGCGGAAGAGAUAAGUGCUGAAAGCAUCUAAGCACGAAACUUGCCCCGAGAUGAGUUCUCCCUGACCCUUUAAGGGUCCUGAAGGAACGUUGAAGACGACGACGUUGAUAGGCCGGGUGUGUAAGCGCAGCGAUGCGUUGAGCUAACCGGUACUAAUGAACCGUGAGGCUUAACCUU
rnacentral:rRNA from 1 species